rnacentral:rRNA from 1 species
CUAGUAACGGCGAGUGAAGCGGGAUGAGCUCAAAUUUAAAAUCUGGCUGGUUUACUAGUCCGAAUUGUAGUUUAUAGAAGCGUUUUCGGUGGCAGCCUGGGUAUAAAUCCUUUGGAAUAGGGUAUCAUAGAGGGUGAGAAUCCCGUCUUUGACUCAGUGCAUGCUACUAUGUGAUACGUUUUCAAAGAGUCGAGUUGUUUGGGAAUGCAGCUCAAAAUGGGUGGUAAAUUUCAUCUAAAGCUAAAUAUUGGCGAGAGACCGAUAGCGAACAAGUACCGUGAGGGAAAGAUGAAAAGAACUUUGAAAAGAGAGUUAAACAGUGCGUGAAAUUGUUGAAAGGGAAACGUUUGACACCAGUUAUGCGGGUGGAAAAUCAGUCUUUUGCAAUGGGGAGUUGUGGGCGUUCAGACCGCAAGGCUGGCGUUUGUUUCAUCUUUGUUGUAAGUGAUGCACUUUUUCAUUUGCAGGUCAACAUCAGUUUGCUUUGCUGGACAAAACUCCAAGGGAAGGUGGCAGCUUAGGCUGUGUUAUAGCCCUGGAGCGAUACAGUGGAGUGGACUGAGGUUUCGCAGUGUGUGCUUUCGGGCAAGGCUGACUGGGUGCUAUGGGAUCGUUCGGCGUACAAUGCAUGCAUUUUGCGCCGUGUCUUUUUCAUACUCGCUCAACUCGGCUCUUCCACGCUUAGGAUGUUGACUUAAUGGUUUUAAACGACCCGUCUUGAAACACGGACCAAGGAGUCUAACAUAUAUGCAAGUGUUUGGGUGGCAAACCCAUGCGCGUAAUGAAAGUGAACGUAGGUGCGAUCCGCAAGGUGCAGCAUCGACCGAUCUUGAUAUUUUUGGAUAGAUUUGAGUAAGAGCAUAUAUGCUGGGACCCGAAAGAUGGUGAACUAUGCCUGAAUAGGGUGAAGCCAGAGGAAACUCUGGUGGAGGCUCGUAGCGAUUCUGACGUGCAAAUCGAUCGUCAAAUUUGGGUAUAGGGGCGAAAGACUAAUCGAACCAUCUAGAGCGCAC